GGGUGUAGUGUGAUUUUGUGGAUGAGAUCACAGGUCUGUCCUUGACAAUCCAGAGAGCAGUCCUAAAUCAACAGAAGUUGACCCCAACCUCUCAAGUGCCCCACUUGCAAGAUGAAACAAUAUCCUAAACAGAUAACCUCAAGAUUCUUUGGUUUCCACUUCCAUACCAUUUAGCCCAUUUUCUGACCCCAACCCACCCUUCUGUGUAGGCUGGGUUAUAUGCUUC
rnacentral:lncRNA from 1 species